ACGCAUAGCAAUGAUUUGGUGGAAGGAGGCAUUGAAGGAGGUGUGGCAUCCUCAGGAAGCAAAGGCACCAGAACCUAGCCGCCAUUGUUUCCUCCAUUGUCUCCCUACAUUUCCUUCAAGGCUGUAUAUGUAUUCGUUGAUGUUUUGACACAUAUAUAAAAUUUACUCGACAUGUCAACUUGGAAUGAUUAUCUAAUCAAAUUAAAUCCUCUUUAGUGUAAAUCAUCUCCCAAUCUAUUUUAUGAACACAAUUUCAGCUUAUAAUAACUAAUAAGUAUAGAAGUAUUCAAUAUUUUGUUCGGCCAGAUCUUUGUAUUGUUUGUUAGAGCAAUUCCAUUGGUUAGAAACUGUAAAAAAUUCUAAAAGAAAAAGAAAAUUAGUAUUAUAAUAAUUUAAUUAAGUUUUAUUUUAAAAAACCAAUCAAAACAUCUAUUCCAUCAUAUCUAAAUGAUCCUCUAAAGUCCUAGACGGUUUCUUAAAAUUUUUGAAAUCGGAACUUUUGUGUAUCUUCUCUUCUAAUUUUGUUAUUAUUUCUUUUUAUUUAAAAAUUUAGAACUCCUUUAGAGUCCACCGUUAAAAACGAUCUUAUCAUUAUGAGCAGAUUUAAAGCAUUCUUAGUUCUUAACAAUUCAAUAUAGAUAUUUUUAAUGUAGUUAGAUUAAAUAAUAAGACUUUAAUAAAACUGACCGAUAGCUAAAACACAAAUGGUUGUACGGUUUCUUAAACAUCUCUUUUUAGAUACUACUUUUUUUGCUCACUUCUUUUUUUAAAAUUUUCAAUUAUUUUAAUGAGUUAAGGACUCUUCUUCGUGUCUUGUGAUCCGUUUCAUAUUUCUUCCUUUUACAUAGCAAAAGAAAAGUCAGCAGAGAGGAAUAUUAAAUAAUGCUUGUGAAUAAAUGAUGACGUAUAAACCUAGAACUAAUCCUUAAAAUUUUUAAGUUACUACAAUAAAAUCAUUCAUUUAGUCAGUACAAUUUAAAAUUAUUUGUUAUUUUUUCAUUUAAAUAAGUUCAUUCUCUAUUGUAAACAACUCCAUUCAUAUACAUGGCUUAAAAUCUUGUUAGGUUAGACCAUCUCCAUUGGUUAGAACUCAGGUUCUAAUAAUUAGUUUAAUUAUAAAUUUUGUAGUUUGUGAAGUUUAGAACCCCUUGUAAUGUAAUUAAAUUUGUGAAGGUCCAAUGGCAGAACCCCUUUGAAGUUCUUAAAAAAAAUUUAAAAAAGUUUUAGAAGUUAAAAUUAUUGGAUUUCAUAAAAAAUUUCAAGAAAGCUACUAGAGAAUCUUUAGACACAAAACAAGUAAAGAUAAUCGAUCUUUACCUUCCUACAUAAGUCAUAUUGCCAACUAAUGCAAAGAAGAACAUUACCUUGAAGUUCUGUCCCUCCAUGCUUGCUGCUUCAGCUGUCUACACAGCGAGAUGCUCACUGAACAAGUCACCAGCUUGGACGGAGACCUUGAAGUUUCACAUAGGAUAUGCAGAGUCUGAGAUUAUGUAAGAACAGAGAAGACUUGCAAAUAUCUGUUUCUGUUCUUGUUUCUUAAUUGCAAAAACUGAUAAGUUUUGUUCUUUGUUGUGUGUUAAUAGGGAAUGCUCAAAGCUCCUAGCUUUACAUCACUCUAGGUGUGGAGAGAGCAGGCUACGUGUUGUGUACAAGAAGUACUCUAAAGUGGAGAACGGAGGCGUGUUGCUUUGGUUUCACCAGCCAAGUCUCUCUUGAGUGCUGCUCCUCUUUCUGCUUAAGUGAUGGAAAAAAGAGUCGUUCAUCAGAUCUCUAUCUGAUUCAUCGACAUACCGAGACCUAUAAGAGAUAGAGAGAUCAUAUGUUCAAUACUGAAACCACUUCAAAUUGAGAAAUUGUAACCAAUCAUUGUGAAAAAAGGCUCUAACCACGCAUAGCAAUGAUUUGGUGGAAGGAGGCAUUGAAGGAGGUGUGGCAUCCUCAGGAAGCAAAGGCACCAGAACCUAGCCGCCAUUGUUUCCUCCAUUGUCUCCCUCCUGCAAACAACACAAUGAAAAAUCAUGAAGUUAGAAGCAUCUGAUAUCGAAAUCCAAAAGCACCAAUCUUUUACUGCAAACACCAAAUCCUGUAAAUAAGA
rnacentral:lncRNA from 1 species